UACGUAGGGUGCAAGCGUUGUCCGGAAUUAUUGGGCGUAAAGAGCUCGUAGGCGGUCUGUCGCGUCGGCUGUGAAAACCCGGAGCUCAACUCCGGGCCUGCAGUCGAUACGGGCAAACUGGAGUACUGCAGGGGAGACUGGAAUUCCUGGUGAUAGCGGUGAAAUGCGCAGAUAGUCAGGAGGAACACCGGUGGCGAAGGCGGGUCUCUGGGCGAG
rnacentral:rRNA from 1 species